rnacentral:lncRNA from 1 species
ACAAAAACUCGGUAAAAUGCCAAUAUUUUUCAUCUAAAUAGAAUCAUAACCAGGUCACUAUAGUCUUUCAUAAUGAAAAAAAAACCUUACCAUAAAAUUAAAAAAAAGAAACAAUACAACUACAAAAAACAUAGAAAGGAAAAAUACAACAGCAACCAAUAACAACCACCACCUUGCAGGUUCCUCUGGUAUCUUUCAUCCCUCUUUCAUG